AGGACAUCCCAUCAACACUGGGCCUGAAACCAGGAGUCCCGCUGGAAAAGCAGGGGCUUCUCCAGGAGCUGGAACUGGAGGACCCAUGGGGAAGUCAGGCUUUGGCGGUGGUUCGAAACCUCAGAAAGCAGGU